UACAGAGACUGCAAGCGUUAUUCGGAUUCCCUGGGCGUAAAGGGUGCGCAGGCGGCCGUGUGUGUGAGGCGUGAAAGCCCGGGGCUUAACCCCGGAAUUGCACCUCAAACUACAUGGCUAGAGCAUUGGAGAGGGUAGCAGAAUUCAUGGUGUAGCAGUGAAAUGCGUAGAUAUCAUGAGGAAUACCAGAGGCGAAGGCGGCUACCUGGACAAUUGCUGACGCUCAGGCACGGAAGCGUGGGGAGCAAAAGGG
rnacentral:rRNA from 1 species